rnacentral:rRNA from 1 species
CAGGCUUAACACAUGCAAGUCGAGGGGCAGCAUUUUAGUUUGCUUGCAAACUGAAGAUGGCGACCGGCGCACGGGUGAGUAACACGUAUCCAACCUGCCGAUAACUCCGGAAUAGCCUUUCGAAAGAAAGAUUAAUACCGGAUAGCAUACGAAUAUCGCAUGAUAUUUUUAUUAAAGAAUUUCGGUUAUCGAUGGGGAUGCGUUCCAUUAGUUUGUUGGCGGGGUAACGGCCCACCAAGACUACGAUGGAUAGGGGUUCUGAGAGGAAGGUCCCCCACAUUGGAACUGAGACACGGUCCAAACUCCUACGGGAGGCAGCAGUGAGGAAUAUUGGUCAAUGGGCGAGAGCCUGAACCAGCCAAGUAGCGUGAAGGAUGAAGGCUCUAUGGGUCGUAAACUUCUUUUAUAUGGGAAUAAAGUUUUCCACGUGUGGAAUUUUGUAUGUACCAUAUGAAUAAGGAUCGGCUAACUCCGUGCCAGCAGCCGCGGUAAUACGGAGGAUCCGAGCGUUAUCCGGAUUUAUUGGGUUUAAAGGGAGCGUAGGUGGAUUGUUAAGUCAGUUGUGAAAGUUUGCGGCUCAACCGUAAAAUUGCAGUUGAAACUGGCAGUCUUGAGUACAGUAGAGGUGGGCGGAAUUCGUGGUGUAGCGGUGAAAUGCUUAGAUAUCACGAAGAACUCCGAUUGCGAAGGCAGCUCACUAGACUGUCACUGACACUGAUGCUCGAAAGUGUGGGUAUCAAACAGGAUUAGAUACCCUGGUAGUCCACACAGUAAACGAUGAAUACUCGCUGUUUGCGAUAUACAGUAAGCGGCCAAGCGAAAGCAUUAAGUAUUCCACCUGGGGAGUACGCCGGCAACGGUGAAACUCAAAGGAAUUGACGGGGGCCCGCACAAGCGGAGGAACAUGUGGUUUAAUUCGAUGAUACGCGAGGAACCUUACCCGGGCUUAAAUUGCAACAGAAUAUAUUGGAAACAGUAUAGCCGUAAGGCUGUUGUGAAGGUGCUGCAUGGUUGUCGUCAGCUCGUGCCGUGAGGUGUCGGCUUAAGUGCCAUAACGAGCGCAACCCUUAUCUUUAGUUACUAACAGGUCAUGCUGAGGACUCUAGAGAGACUGCCGUCGUAAGAUGUGAGGAAGGUGGGGAUGACGUCAAAUCAGCACGGCCCUUACGUCCGGGGCUACACACGUGUUACAAUGGGGGGUACAGAAGGCGGCUACCUGGUGACAGGAUGCUAAUCCCAAAAACCUCUCUCAGUUCGGAUCGAAGUCUGCAACCCGACUUCGUGAAGCUGGAUUCGCUAGUAAUCGCGCAUCAGCCAUGGCGCGGUGAAUACGUUCCCGGGCCUUGUACACACCGCCCGUCAAGCCAUGAAAGCCGGGGGUACCUGAAGUACGUAACCGCAAGGAGCGUCCUAGGGUAAAACUGGUAAUUGGGGCUAAGUCAUAACA